AAAAAGCAAGAAACAAAUAGAGUCUUUAAAAUGUGAUCGAAGAAAAUUAGGGAUUUGGAAAAGGAACGAAACUGAAAUUACCUGCGAGAUGGAUCUUGAAACAGGUCGGAGGAUUCGAUUGAGAAGACAACCUAAUUUGCAAACAUAGACAAAAAAUUAAACAUUUAACAUAAAUUAGAUGAUGAAAUUAAAUCAUGAAAUAACAGAUGGAGAAGCAAUUUGAAAUAUUUGGAGAGAAGGAAUCAGGAAAAAAUGGAGUGAGAUGAGUAAGAAAAUGAGUUAGAGGGAGAAAUUGAAUUUUGAAAUUUGAAAUCAGUCAACAAAACAAAAACAACAGAGUAGUGCUGCAAUAUUUUGCUUUGAGAGAGACAGAUGAAAGUGACGCUACAUCUUUUCUGCCAAAGCUGAUGAAAUUUGAAAGUUUUGGUCAAAGCUUGUAGAAUAGGAUUGCAAAGCAGCUUUUGGUUUUUCACCAAAAUGGAAUGGUGCCAAGACGGAGAAAGAAAGUAACAACGUGUGGGAAGGAAAAUAAAAGAACGAAACCACGCUGCUUUGGAAUAACAAAUUAAACAAAUUAAAAUUGAAACAAAUCAAAUAAAAAAAAAAUUGAUACAAAAUCUAAAAUUUAACAAAAACAAAUCAGUCAUAUUAUAUUUGAGAAAAC
rnacentral:lncRNA from 1 species